rnacentral:rRNA from 1 species
UACGUAGGGUGCGAGCGUUAAUCGGAAUUACUGGGCGUAAAGCGUGCGCAGGCGGUUCGUUGUGUCUGAUGUGAAAGCCCCGGGCUCAACCUGGGAAUGGCAUUGGAAACUGGCGAGCUAGAGUGUGGCAGAGGGGGGUGGAAUUCCGCGUGUAGCAGUGAAAUGCGUAGAGAUGCGGAGGAACACCGAUGGCGAAGGCAGCCCCCUGGGUCAAGAUUGACGCUCAUGCACGAAAGCGUGGGGAGCAAACAGG